AUUGAACGCUGGCGGCAGGCCUAACACAUGCAAGUCGAGCGGAUGAGGGGAGCUUGCUCCUGGAUUCAGCGGCGGACGGGUGAGUAAUGCCUAGGAAUCUGCCUGGUAGUGGGGGAUAACGUCCGGAAACGGGCGCUAAUACCGCAUACGUCCUGAGGGAGAAAGUGGGGGAUCUUCGGACCUCACGCUAUCAGAUGAGCCUAGGUCGGAUUAGCUAGUUGGUGGGGUAAAGGCCUACCAAGGCGACGAUCCGUAACUGGUCUGAGAGGAUGAUCAGUCAAACUGGAACUUAGAAACGGUCCAGACUCCUAAGGGAGGCAGGAGUGGGGAAUAUUGGGCAAUGGGCGAAAGCCUGAUCCAGCCAUGCCGCGUGUGUGAAGAAGGUCUUCGGAUUGUAAAGCACUUUAAGUUGGGAGGAAGGGCAGUAAGUUAAUACCUUGCUGUUUUGACGUUACCAACAGAAUAAGCACCGGCUAACUUCGUG
rnacentral:rRNA from 1 species